rnacentral:lncRNA from 1 species
GUUCAGUGAUGAUUUUUUGUUCCUCCAGUGUGAUGUUCUUGUUUUUCUCUUUGUCUCUGCAGGCUAAGUCUGGAUACUGUUCAGACUUAUAAUUCUUACAGCAAACGUACCACUCUCCAUCGAUUAACACAGCUACAACCCACAGCAGACUGAUGAAAGCUGCCUUGAAAAAGUGAUUCAACAAAACAAGGCAAAACUUCCAUCUGCAACAGCAUGUACAGCAUCCACUACAUGAAUAACAGCAUCCUCCACCGGCUCCUUCUACACCAGCUUGUCCUCCACCGGCUCCUUCUACACCAGCUUGUCCUCCACCGGCUCCUUCUGCAGCUGCUUGUCCUCCACCGGCUCCUUCUACAGCUGCUUGUCCUCCACAUGUGCAGACAAAUGUGUAUUUACAGGCUCUCUGAAAUGUCUUGUCCGCCCAGAGUUGUAAAAAUAAUAGAAUGAAAAAUGGCAGAGCCAUGUAUGUGCUGCAGUGAUCAUGAUCUUCAUUACAUGAGCACUGAAAAUCAUAGCCAAGCACAACAUUGUGAACAAAAAUCACAAUGAAUGCGAUGUAGGGGCCGAGUUGUUGGAGAGGAAAGUUUGGGAAGACGCCCUUCAUGUUUGGUGCCACGUUUGCAUCUGCUGGCUGCUGCUGCUGGUCGCCUCCUUUUAACAGGAAGAGAUGCACCUAAGCUGCUGCAACACGCCCAGCCUUCAUUUCCUCAUUGCUUUACGAUUAAUGCUCUGUGUGCGUUAUGAAAUAAAACCACAACACAUUUCUACAUAUCAAAGGACGUGCUGAUAGAAAAGACAUGAUUUCACACAGAUGCAACAAUGGAAAGAUUUUAUUUCUUUUUGUUUAACAUCACUGCUAUUGUUCAACAUAUAAAAGUGUGUGAAGAUGGUACAGAGUAGAACGCUGCAGUGAAAUUCACAUGAAGCUCACGUGAGAAAAAGAAACCACAAGUUCUUUUGGUGGUGCUGUGUACAGAGUCGCUGCAGUCAGCACUUUAAAGAUCCUCAGCUUUAUUUGACUCUUUAACUACUGCACCAUGUUUUUGAAGCUUUACACAUACUGGACUUGAGUUUGUUGAGACAAGAAACACCAACUGCUGCUAUUUAACAAGUCUGUCCACAUAUUUUUGGCCACAUAUUGCACAUGCAGCAUCAACACCUCAUGACUGAGAACAUUACUGUCCUGAAUCUUUUGAUUCUCAAUGUGUAAAACUGUUAAAUGUCUCAAAAGUAUCUACGUUAUUCUUGAAAUACUACAGCUUUUAUUUUAAAAAGCAAAAAGACCUCUCUCAUAAUAUCAUGAUGUUAAUAACAACUUAAUAAUCUCUAACUGAUUAACUGAUGAACAAAACAGUUAACGAAUAACUGAUUCAUCUUUGCAUCUUCAAUUCUGUUUCCUGAAAAUCAAAAACUGACUCAUGGUUUGUUAUGAAUGUGAGCCAGAAGAGAAAGAAAGAUGUUUCUGAUGCACUGAGCAGGUCAGACGUGUUCUU